rnacentral:rRNA from 1 species
AUUGAACGCUGGCGGCAGGCCUAACACAUGCAAGUCGAGCGGAUGAAGGGAGCUUGCUCCUGGAUUCAGCGGCGGACGGGUGAGUAAUGCCUAGGAAUCUGCCUGGUAGUGGGGGAUAACGUCCGGAAACGGGCGCUAAUACCGCAUACGUCCUGAGGGAGAAAGUGGGGGAUCUUCGGACCUCACGCUAUCAGAUGAGCCUAGGUCGGAUUCGCUAGUUGGUGGGGUAAAGGCCUACCAAGGCGACGAUCCGUAACUGGUCUGAGAGGAUGAUCAGUCACACUGGAACUGAGACACGGUCCAGACUCCUACGGGAGGCAGCAGUGGGGAAUAUUGGACAAUGGGCGAAAGCCUGAUCCAGCCAUGCCGCGUGUGUGCAGAAGGUCUUCGGAUUGUAAAGCACUUUAAGUUGGGAGGAAGGGCAGUAAGUUAAUACCUUGCUGUUUUGACGUUACCAACAGAAUAAGCACCGGCUAACUUCGUG